rnacentral:rRNA from 1 species
GAGACUCUGUGCGCGUGCAUAUCAAUAAGCGGAGGAAAAGAAACUAACAAGGAUUCCCUUAGUAACGGCGAGUGAAGCGGGAAGAGCUCAAAUUUGAAAUCUUCAAGGUUCUACCUUGACGAAUUGUAGUUUAAAGAAGUGUUUUCUGUUGAAGUUUUGGUAAAAGUUCUUUGGAAUAGGACAUCAUAGAGGGUGAGAAUCCCGUAUUUGACCAUUACUUUUCCAGCUGUGUGAUACACUUUCAAAGAGUCGGAUUGUUUGGGAAUGCAGUCCAAAAUGGGUGGUAAAUUUCAUCUAAAGCUAAAUAUUGGCGAGAGACCGAUAGCGAACAAGUACCGUGAGGGAAAGAUGAAAAGAACUUUGAAAAGAGAGUUAAACAGUACGUGAAAUUGUCAAAAGGGAAGCGUUUGACACCAGUGUUGUUUUCUCGAAAAUCAAUUAAAAAUGGCUGGAUUUUGUGUUGUAUUGACCUUAAAAGCUUUCUUCACUCUUUUCAUGUCUUUUUUAAUGCACUUUUCGUUUAACAAGUCAACAUCAGUUUCUUUUGUUGUAAAAAGGGUCAUUGGAAGGUGGCUUUCUUUUCGGAGAAAGUGUUUAUAGCCUUUGACUCUCUGCAAUCGGAGAGACUGAGGUCUGCAGCGUAGAUCCUUCUUGGGAUUAGAUUACAUUUGUGCUAAGUUAUAGCUUUUUAUAGACAACUUGUUGACUAUAUUUAGUCUUGUAGCUUACUCGCUUAUGCAAUUUUACCUACGCUUAGGAUGUUGAACUCUAUCACACACA